CGCACAUUGCGCCCAUUAGUAUUCUAUUGGGCAUGCCUGUUCGAGCGUCAUUUCGACCCUUAAGCUUAGCUUAGUGUUGAGAAUCUACGGUGGUAGGCUUAAGUCUUACACUGUAGUUCUUAAAAACCAACGGCGGAAUUAUGGUAUCCUCUGAACGUAAUAAAUAUUUAUGUCGUUUUGGUUAGGUGCUGUAGUUGUAGCCGUUAAACCCCCUAUAUUUUAAAUGGUUGACCUCGGAUCAGGUAGGAAUACCCGCUGAACUUAA
rnacentral:misc_RNA from 1 species